UACAGAGGUCUCGAGCGUUAGGCGGAAUCACUGGGCUUAAAGCGUGUGUAGGCGGACUGGUAAGUACCUUGUGAAAUCCCACGGCUCAACCGUGGAACUGCUUGGUAUACUGCUUGUCUUGUGCAACCUAGGGGCGGAGCGGAACAGAUGGUGGAGCGGUGAAAUGCGUAGAUAUCAUCUGGAACGCCAAUGGUGAAAAACAGCUCGCUGGGGGUUUGCAGACGCUGAGACACGAAAGCCAGGGGAGCAAACGGGG
rnacentral:rRNA from 1 species